rnacentral:rRNA from 1 species
AAGCAUAUCAAUAAGCGGAGGAAAAGAAACUAACAAGGAUUCCCCCUAGUAACUGCGAGUGAAGCGGGAAAAGCUCAAAUUUAAAAUCCUUCGGGAGUUGUAAUCUGUAGAAGUGUUUUCGGUCGUUGCCUCGGAUAAGUCUCUUGGAACAGAGUGUCAUAGAGGGUGAGAAUCCCGUCCUUGCCGAGCUCCCAGCGUCCUUGUGAUACACUUUCAACGAGUCGAGUUGUUUGGGAAUGCAGCUCAAAAUGGGUGGUAAACUCCAUCUAAAGCUAAAUAUUGGCGAGAGACCGAUAGCGAACAAGUACCGUGAGGGAAAGAUGAAAAGAACUUUGGAAAGAGAGUUAAACAGUACGUGAAAUUGUUAAAAGGGAAACGCUUGGAGUCAGUCGCGUUGCAGGGACUCAGCCUCACGGUGUACUUUUCUGCAACGGGUCAACAUCAGUUUCGGCCGCGGGAUAAGAGUCGGGGGAAUGUGGCUCUCUCGGGAGUGUUAUAGCCUCUGGCUGUACACCGCGGCGGGGACUGAGGUCUGCUUAAAGGAUGUUGACGAAAUGGCUCUAAGCGACCCGUCUUGAAACACGGACCAAGGAGUCUAACAUGUCUGCGAGUAUUUGGGUGCGAAACCCAUGUGCGCAAUGAAAGUAAUGCAGGUGGGAGGCCUCGGCCGCACCAUCGACCGAUCCGGAUCUCUUGGGAUGGAUUUGAGUAGGAGCAUAUAUGUUGGGACCCGAAAGAUGGUGAACUAUGCCUGAAUAGGGCGAAGCCAGAGGAAACUCUGGUGGAGGCUCGUAGCGAUUCUGACGUGCAAAUCGAUCGUCGAAUUUGGGGUAUAGGGGCGAAAGACUAAUCGAACCAUCUAGUAGCUGGUUCCUGCC